UACGUAGGUGGCGAGCGUUAUCCGGAUUUAUUGGGUUUAAAGGGUGCGUAGGCGGGCUGUUAAGUCAGCGGUCAAAUGUCGGGGCUCAACCCCGGCCUGCCGUUGAAACUGGCAGACUUGAGUUGGCGAGAAGUACGCGGAAUGCGCGGUGUAGCGGUGAAAUGCAUAGAUAUCGCGCAGAACUCCGAUUGCGAAGGCAGCAUACCGGUGCACAACUGACGCUCAGGCACGAAAGCGUGGGUAUCGAACAGG
rnacentral:rRNA from 1 species